GCAUCUCUCCUAUCCCGGGCUUUUCUCAGACAGAUAAUUCUGGAAUUGCCUCCCAACUUGCAUCUACACUUACCUCCCUGGCUAAGAGGUCAAAGACGACAACCUAUUAGUCCUUAUCCAGUGGCUUAAACUCUCAGAAUUAGCACUAACUUUGUCUGAACAUUAUAUAAAUCUGCGUCCUGGUCAGAAGUAGGACUGUUAGCACGCAACCCUCGUACCUCCCAAGAGAAUUCCACCGUGCCCAGACCUGCAUCACCCAAGAGAAUGGUCCACAGUUGCAAGAAGAUUAUGCUUACAAUUCUGAUAUGUUGUGAGGUGUAUUUAUGUUCAGGCCAGACUCUGAUAUGUCAUAACUGCAACGACAGUGAGGAUUGUACCCACCAAGAAACCUGUGCAGAAAAUGAAAAUGUCUGUAUCUUGGAGAUAAUAAAAAUGCCAAACCAUACUGAAGUUCUUAAGAAAUGUUUCACAAAUUGUGAAGACUUCUUUGAGGAAGAGACCUUUGAGAAGGAAGACACCAGUACUACAAAUGUACCCAUCAACUCAAGCACAGUCAGAAAGGUACUACAAAUGACUGAUAAAAAAAACUUCCUGUUCAGACAAAAGACCUCCAUGGAACAUUCCAUUCUGUGCUGUGAUAGUGACCUGUGUAACCAGGCCAGAGUCCGGGGCCCAGGAGAUACACAUCUCGUCUUUGGGUUUCUACUCAGCUUUGUGUGGCUUAUCCACUGUUCAGUUCUGUGACACCUCUGCCUACACCCUUCCAAAGACAGUUUUCUAAGGUAAAAAUUUAAAAGCGCAUUCAUGGUCAUUAAAGUAAGAUUAAUUAACGUAAUGUGAAAUGGUCUCUAUUCUAUUUUCCGAAUGAAUUUUCAGGUUCUAGAAGGUUAAUCAGAGGAGUUCCUGCUCAAUUUGCUGAGCUGAGAAGGAGGUGAUCCUCUCUUUGGAAUUCUGUAACUCAUCCAUUGAGGUUGAAUUGGUUGACUCAAUCACUUUGAUCAUUGGCACAGAGACCCUUCUGUCCCCUCACCC